rnacentral:rRNA from 1 species
UACGGAAGGCAGCAGUGGGGAAUAUUGCACAAUGGGCGCAAGCCUGAUGCAGCCAUGCCGCGUGUAUGAAGAAGGCCUUCGGGUUGUAAAGUACUUUCAGUCGUGAGGAAGGUGUUAAGGUUAAUAACCUUAGCAAUUGACGUUAGCGACAGAAGAAGCACCGGCUAACUCCGUGCCAGCAGCCGCGGUAAUACGGAGGGUGCGAGCGUUAAUCGGAAUUACUGGGCGUAAAGGGCACGCAGGCGGUUAAUUAAGUUGGAUGUGAAAUCCCCGGGCUUAACCUGGGAAUGGCAUUCAAGACUGGUUAGCUAGAGUCUUGUAGAGGGGGUAGAAUUCCAUGUGUAGCGGUGAAAUGCGUAGAGAUGUGGAGGAAUACCGGUGGCGAAGGCGGCCCCUGGGACAAAGACUGACGCUCAUGUGCGAAAGCGUGGGGAGCAAAACAGGGAUUAGAUACC